GUUGUAUAGUCAAGUAAUUAAGUGCAUGUGGUGGAUGCCUUGGCAGUCAGAGGCGAUGAAAGACGUGAUAGCCUGCGAAAAGCUCCGGGGAGGCGGCAAAUAUCCUUUGAUCCGGAGAUGUCUGAAUGGGGGAACCCACCUACUUUAAGGUAGGUAUUGCAACAUGAAUACAUAGUGUUGCAAGGCGAACGAGGGGAAGUGAAACAUCUCAGUACCCUUAGGAAAAGAAAUCAAUUGAGAUUCCCUCAGUAGCGGCGAGCGAAAGGGGAUCAGCCCAUUAAGUUAUGUGUGUUUUAGUGGAACGCUCUGGGAAGUGCGAACGUAGA
rnacentral:rRNA from 1 species